AAGUCGUAACAAGGUUUCCGUAGGUGAACCUGCGGAAGGAUCAUUACAGAGUUCAUGCCCGAGAGGGUAGACCUCCCACCCUUGUGUAUUAUUACUUUGUUGCUUUGGCGAGCUGCCUUCGGGCCUUGUAUGCUCGCCAGAGAAGACCAAAACUCUUUGUAUUAAUGUCGUCUGAGUACUAUAUAAUAGUUAAAACUUUCAACAACGGAUCUCUUGGUUCUG
rnacentral:misc_RNA from 1 species